rnacentral:snoRNA from 1 species
AGAUCAUGAUGAGGGCACCGCCUAAGCAAGUCCUUGUAUCUUUCCUAGGCCUCAUAUAAUGAUUCAGAAUCUAGCUGCAUGAACAAUGUGAUUUCAUUUUUCAUUUU